UACAGAGGGUGCAAACGUUGCUCGGAAUCAUUGGGCGUAAAGCGCACGUAGGCGGCCUAGCAAGUAGGGAGUGAAAGCCCUCGGCUUAACCGAGGAAGUGCUUUCUAAACUACUAGGCUUGAGUACUGAAGAGGAUCGCGGAAUUCCCGGUGUAGAGGUGAAAUUCGUAGAUAUCGGGAGGAACACCAGUGGCGAAGGCGGCGAUCUGGGCAGAUACUGACGCUGAGGUGCGAAAGCGUGGGGAGCAAACAGG
rnacentral:rRNA from 1 species